AAUGUGACACACCUUUGACUUUUUCCUUUGUCGGACCUGAGGCGUGAAAUGUCCCUGCUGGGCCACUGUAGGGUUCUGGCAGGGCCACAAUAGGUCCAGGGCAUCUGUGUGGGUCGACCAGUCAGCACAGAACAAGGUGAACCAGAACUUAACCUCCUCGGUGCUGUGCCAAGCAUCCGUGCACUGGUCCAGGGACACGUUUGCAGGGUGACUUCAUCUGGCCUUGGUCUCAAGCAAAGAGCCGUGGCAGCUCAUCUCGCGGGAGAUGCAGCAGGAGAUGCAU